rnacentral:misc_RNA from 1 species
UACAGAGACUGCGAGCGUUAUUCGGAUUCACUGGGCGUAAAGGGUGCGCAGGCGGCCAUGUGUGUGAGGCGUGAAAUCCCGGGGCUCAACCCCGGAACUGCACCUCAAACUACAUGGCUGGAGCAUUGGAGAGGGUAGCAGAAUUCACGGUGUAGCAGUGAAAUGCGUAGAUAUCGUGAGGAAUACCAGAGGCGAAGGCGGCUACCUGGACAAUUGCUGACGCUCAGGCACGAAAGCGUGGGGAGCAAAAGGG